GGCUCGAUAGUCAAGUGGUUAAGAUGCCACCCUUUCACGGUGGAGACAGGGGUUCGAUUCUCCUUCGAGCUA
rnacentral:tRNA from 1 species